rnacentral:misc_RNA from 1 species
GAUGAAGAACGUAGCGAAAUGCGAUAAGUAAUGUGAAUUGCAGAAUUCAGUGAAUCAUCGAAUCUUUGAACGCACAUUGCGCCCGCUAGUAUUCUGGCGGGCAUGCCUGUCCGAGCGUCAUUUCAACCCUCAAGCCCCCGGGCUUGGUGUUGGGGAUCGGCGAGCCUCCGCGCCCGCCGUCCCCUAAAUCUAGUGGCGGUCUCGCUGUAGCUUCCUCUGCGUAGUAGCACACCUCGCGCUGGGAAACAGCGCGGCCACGCCGUUAAACCCCCAACUUCUGAACGUUUGACCUCGGAUCAGGUAGGAAUACCCGCUGAACUUAAGCAUAUCAAUAAGCGGAGGA